UUGGCUUUCUCCUCGGUCCCCAUGUCUAAGGAAAGCAGUCCUCCGUAUCCGUAGUCUCUGUUCACCAUCCCUUUGGCUAGCUUGUGCUGCGGGUGGGCCUCGAGCCCUGGAUAUAUGACUUUCAUCCCCAACUCCCUCAUUCUCUCAGCAUACACAUGGGCUCUGCGGCUAUGCUCCUUCAUGCGUAGGCCCAAGUGAGGGAUCCGCUCCGAGAGCUCGAAAGCCACCUUGGCGUUCAUGGUAGGACCCAGAAGCAUCAGAGAUCCGCCACGCAGAUCCAUCAUCCCUUUCACCAGCUUCUCGCUCCCACACACGGCCCCUGUUUUUUUAUUAUGCCACGGCAAAGGAAAGGACACGUGUACGGUUAUUUGCUCCUUCACGUGAAAGAGGAACUACUUUACUACAAAACAUUACAUAACGUCGCGACAAAUCUUAAUAACGUUACCUGCGAUGAUGUCGGCCCCGCCACUGAUGAACUUGGAGAUACUGUGAACCACCACAUCAGCUCCAAGCUUGGCUGGAGAGAGCACCAUGGGGGCGAAGGUGUUGUCCACCACCACCGUCACACCCUUCUCGUGUGCCAUACGGCUCAGCUCAGGUAUGUCAGCCAUAGUCAGCGUCGGGUUUGCCACCGACUCAAAGUAGAGAACCUGUGUCCUACCCUCAACGAUCGCGUCUGCCACAGCGCCAUGGUCCGUUAUGUCGACGAAGGAGGUGGUUAUGUUGCUGGUCCGUGGCAGGAAAUGAGUUAGCAGAGCGUGUGUUCCUCCGUAGAGAGUGCUCGAUGCCACCACGUGUCCCCCGCUGCUGCACAGUUGCAGUAUCACUGAAGAUAUCGCCGACAUACCUGAAGUCCAUCCCAGUAAUUAUACCAUUAAUUACUUCGAAGAGAACAUGCACUUAAAAAAAACUAAUGAAAACUUGAAAGUCCAUCCAAAGAUUCCGUAUCAAACACUCAACUACGAUUCCAUGGGGUCUGUCUAGAUUUUAUUCUUUAUUUUAUUUAAAACUAUUAUGGAUGUAUAUAUAUAAAGUUACCGCUUGAGGUACAGUAGGCGGCUUGGGUGCCUUCGAGAGCAGCCAUCUGGCGGCUGAGGUUGAGCACGGUGGGGUUGAAGUGUCGGCUGUAUACGAAGAAGUCGUUG
rnacentral:lncRNA from 1 species